GAAAAAAGAAAUGGCAGCCAUGGAAUGGGUUUCAUUCGGCCAAGCUUUGGAGCUUGAUAGAUCAAGAAAGAUGAGGAGUUGACCUUGAUAGGGAAAAGAAAAGGUUGUGGACUAAAUUGCAAAUUCGUCAUAUCUUGCACCAAAGUAUCGAAAAGUGAGAAAUUUCCCGGUUGAACAUUAGGAAUAGAAUAGGAUACAAGUGACAUGUCACUAGUGACUCUAGUGUGGCACUAUGUGAAGGCCACUUUGAGAAGAGCUAGCUUGAUCACAAGUGUGGUACUAUGGGAAGGCCACUUUGUGAAGAAAGAUAGCUUUGGUCACAAGUGUGGUACUAUGUGAAGGUCACUUUGUGAAGAAGGUAGCUUUGGCUACAAGGGUUGUACUAUGUGCAGGUCACCGGGUAUCCAUUAUUAUUCUGAUGUGUUCAAUGGGAAAUGACUAAGUGUAAACGAACAUGACCAUGUGAUGAAUAAGUGCAGUGUCACUAAGCUAGCUCAGGAUAUGGAGAUUGUCGGAGAUCCAUCCACACUAUCAACACUCUUUUGGUAUUUUGAAAUCAAUAUUUUGAAUUAUGGCAUGUAUAGAAGGCUUGGUUAUUCUGUUAUGUGUCAUAAUUGAUUUGGCCUAAAAUGUUGGUCUACGCUAUUUGAUAAUUUAUUUUGUAUAAAGCCAUUGAUGUUGGCUAAUAUUGAUCAAAUUAUAUGUUCAUGAUGAUGCAUUUCGUGGA